rnacentral:rRNA from 1 species
CAAUAGCGUAUUUUAAAAUUGUCCCGGCCAAAUAGCUCGUAGUUGGAUUUUUGCCGAGGACGACCGGUCCGCCCUUUGGGUGAGUAUCUGCCUCGGCCUGGGCAUCUUCUUGGAGAGCGGAGCUGCAUCAUGGAAUAAUAAGAUAAGACAUCGGUUCCAUUUUGUGGGCUUCUAGAACUGAGGUAGUGAUUAAUAUGGACAGUUGGGGGCAUUCGUGUUUAAUUGUCAGAUGUGAAAUUCUUGGAUUUGUUCAAGACGGACUACUGCGAAAGCAUUUGCCAAGGAUCUUUUCAUGAA